AGUAUGAAUGCAGCAUAUGACAAGUUGUUUGGUCGGGUGUUUAAGAGAAGUUCAGAACUGGUGUUUACCAUCGAUAUCUGAAGGAUACCAUCAAAGUUCGUUUCAUGGCUCUUAAGCUUCAGAUUAUAUGUUAUCUGACCAUCUCUGUAGAAACAAAUAGUUUGUAUUAAGCUACAUAAGAUGUCUCUCUUCUGCACUUAGCCAUUAAGUUGAUCCAUUUGGACUACAAGUCUGCGUGUUGGAGACAAAGGAUUUCAAUUUCAUAGGGAAUUUGAUAUUGUGAGAUUGAGGCAGUGUCUCUUGAGCUUUAUGAAUGGGAUCCGAAAUUAACCGAAUGCUGGAGUUGAUCUGUAUUUUGUUUCUCAAUAUCUAAAAACAAAACUGUAGAAGCAAAGUCAUGAGAAGCCUUGCAAUCUGGUGUUUGGAGUUUAUUUAUUAAUUUAUAAUAAUCAUUUUGAGAUA